rnacentral:rRNA from 1 species
GUAACGGCGAGUGAAGCGGCAACAGCUCAAAUUUGAAAUCUGGCCCCCAGGGCCCGAGUUGUAAUUUGCAGAGGAUGCUUUUGGCGCGGUGCCUUCCGAGUUCCCUGGAACGGGACGCCAUAGAGGGUGAGAGCCCCGUCUGGUCGGACACCAAGCCAGUGUAAAGCUCCUUCGACGAGUCGAGUAGUUUGGGAAUGCUGCUCUAAAUGGGAGGUAUAUGUCUUCUAAAGCUAAAUACCGGCCAGAGACCGAUAGCGCACAAGUAGAGUGAUCGAAAGAUGAAAAGCACUUUGAAAAGAGGGUUAAACAGUACGUGAAAUUGUUGAAAGGGAAGCGUUUGUGACCAGACUUGGGCCCGGUGAAUCAUCCAGCGUUCUCGCUGGUGCACUUCGCCGGGCCCAGGCCAGCAUCAGUUCGCCGCGGGGGAUAAAAGCUUCGGGAACGUGGCUCCCUCGGGAGUGUUAUAGCCCGUUGCAUAAUACCCUGCGGCGGACUGAGGUUCGCGCUCCGCAAGGAUGCUGGCGUAAUGGUCAUCAGCGACCCGUCUUGAAACACGGACCAAGGAGUCGUCUUCGUAUGCGAGUGUUCGGGUGUCAAACCCCUACGCGUAAUGAAAGUGAACGCAGGUGAGAGCUUCGGCGCAUCAUCGACCGAUCCUGAUGUUCUCGGAUGGAUUUGAGUAAGAGCAUACGGGGCCGGACCCGAAAGAAGGUGAACUAUGCCUGUAUAGGGUGAAGCCAGAGGAAACUCUGGUGGAGGCUCGCAGCGGUUCUGACGUGCAAAUCGAUCGUCAAAUAUGGGCAUGGGG